UCAAAUAAAUCUAAUCUUACGGGCAGCCUACCUUUAACGUUUUUUCUAGAGUUUUGUUUCUGGCUCAGAUUGAACGCUGGAGGCAGGCCUAACACAUGCAAGUCGAGCGGUAGCACAGAGAGCUUGCUCUCGGGUGACGAGCGGCGGACGGGUGAGUAAUGUCUGGGAAACUGCCUGAUGGAGGGGGAUAACUAGUGGAAACGGUAGUUAAUACCGCAUAAUGUCGCAAGACCAAAGUGGGGGACCUUCGGGCCUCAUGCCAUCAGAUGUGCCCAGAUGGGAUUAGCUAGUAGGUGGGGUAAGGGCUCACCUGGGAGACGAUCCCUAGCUGGUUUGAGAGGAUGACCAGCCACACUGGAAGUGAGACACGGUCCAGACUCCUACGGGAGGCAGCAGUGGGGAAUAUUGCACAAUGGGCGCAAGCCUGAUGCAGCCAUGCCGCGUGUAUGAAGAAGGCCUUCGGGUUGUAAAGUACUUUCAGCGGGGAGGAAGGCGAUAAGGUUAAUAACCUUGUCGAUUGACGUUACCCGCAGAAGAAGCACCGGCUAACUCCGUGCCAGCAGCCGCGGUAAUACGGAGGGUGCAAGCGUUAAUCGGAAUUACUGGGCGUAAAGCGCACGCAGGCGGUUUGUCAAGUCGGAUGUGAAAUCCCCGGGCUCAACCUGGGAACUGCAUUCGAAACUGGCAGGCUAGAGUCUUGUAGAGGGGGGUAGAAUUCCAGGUGUAGCGGUGAAAUGCGUAGAGAUCUGGAGGAAUACCGGUGGCGAAGGCGGCCCCCUGGACAAAGACUGACGCUCAGGUGCGAAAGCGUGGGGAGCAAACAGGAUUAGAUACCCUGGUAGUCCACGCCGUAAACGAUGUCGAUUUGGAGGUUGUGCUCCUUGAGGCGUGGCUUCCGGAGCUAACGCGUUAAAUAGACCGCCU
rnacentral:rRNA from 1 species